rnacentral:rRNA from 1 species
UACGGAGGGUGCAAGCGUUAUCCGGAUUUACUGGGUUUAAAGGGUGCGUAGGUGGGCAGGUAAGUCAGUGGUGAAAUCUCCGAGCUUAACUCGGAAACUGCCAUUGAUACUAUCUGUCUUGAAUUAUCUGGAGGUGAGCGGAAUAUGUCAUGUAGCGGUGAAAUGCUUAGAUAUGACAUAGAACACCAAUUGCGAAGGCAGCUCACUACGGAUAUAUUGACACUGAGGCACGAAAGCGUGGGGGAUCAAACAGG